rnacentral:lncRNA from 1 species
AGAGAUCUUCUUUGGAGAAUUUAAGAAUUCAGGACCAGGCGCAGCUGCUGAUGGACGUGUUAAAUUUGCCAAGCAACUGACUGAAGCAGAAGUAAAACCUUUCAUUUCUCUUAGGAUGCCAGCUCCUAAGGCGAUAUUUGCAUAUAGUACCAUAAGCGAGGUUAUAUGUCCCGAAGGAUGGUCUAAUAAUGAACAUCCUGAAAGAGAGCCGUAAGAAAUUUUAGCUAAUCUCUUUAAUCUCAUAAAAUGACUUAUCUAUAAUACUCAUUUUGCAUAUUUCUAUAAGGUUCUGUGAAUUUUGCAGAGAGAUCUUCUUUGGAGAAUUUAAGAAUUCAGGACCAGGUGCAGCUCCUGAUGGACGUGCUAAAUUUGCCAAGCAAUUAACUGAAGCAGAAGUAAAACCUUUCAUUUCUCUUAUUUAUAUUGAAGGUUCUAAAUGGCUGCUUCCUCCUCCCAAAUUGUGAGGACUAUAUUUAUAGCAGGAAGUAUAUGAAUUUGAGCGCAAUGAUGUUUAGGCGUACAUGGCCAUCUACGCCGGAAGAAUCCCUUGUUAUUUUGGAAGGCCUAUCUUAUGGUUUUGGCAUCUUAGUUACCACUUGUAAAUAAGCCAGAUUAGAGUAAUAUAUCUGGUUCUGCAAUUUUCCCAACAAUGAUUUUGCAAUUAUCUCAUUUAUUAGUUUCAUGUAAUUUUUAGUCAUUUUAUAAUUAUUAGCCCAUAAAUACAUGUUUUCUCCCCCAUUGACUUCAAUUUUCCAUUUGAUACAAACCAUAAAUUUUCUUUCUAAAUACUGAUUAAUAAAUAGAAUAUUCAGAAUAAAGAGUGUCUGCGUGUAAUUAUGGAUAUACUAACUAAAUAAGGAAUGAAAACUAACUAAUUAGGAGCCAAUCAGGUGGUGGUCUGGUUGGUCUUCUCUCUUAUGUGAGGAGUGGGAGGCUGCCCUGUGUUGUAUAGUCCAUAGUAUUAUUUCGGUCUAUAAAAGUCUCUAAUGAAUUUAAAAAACUAACUAAUUAGGAAAAAAAAAAAGAUUUUUUAACUAAAAAGGAAAGAUAAAAUCUAACUACAUAAGAAAAUAUCAUUGCCUUAACUAAAUAGGGACAAAGAUACAUAAUAUAUAAGAACAAUAAAUAAAAUUUUAAAAUAAUAUCCUAAGAAAUAAACAAUAAUGCUAUAUAAGAAUUUCAUCCAAAUAAGUUGUGUUAACUGUUAGGUACACAUACACAUGAAAUUUGUAGCUUUGUAGUGUUGCACUCUAGCUAUGACAAUCUUGAUGCAAUAUAAAUUAAAUCUUUCAUAUUUUAUUCAUAGAAAUUUUUGAGGUCGGAUGGCAUUUAAAUAAUGGAAUGUAUACAUCUCAUGAAUUUGCUAGAUUCUUUCAAUUAAUAGAGAAAAAAAAUGAAGUAUGCUACAUGGAAUUAAUAGAUUUCGAGGUAUCCCCAAUUACAUUAAUUUAGAAGAGAGAAAAAUAUCAUCUCAAUGCUGGAAUUUUCUCAAUUCUAUCAUUAUUAAUCAUUUAAUUUUUUUUCCAAAAAUAUCUUUUAAAUUCAUGGAUUAUAUUUUUUCAUUUAAAUAAUGGAAUAUGAAAUUCCAUUGAUUUUACAAUUCAUAAAUUUUAUAUUUCGUGAAUUUGGUAAAUUUUAUGACCAAAUUUCAUCAAUUUAAAUUAUCUCCUUGAGACUAAAAAAGUGUGAAGUAAGACAGAUGUUAAAAGUUUUAACAAUGAUUGUACAUUUGUUUUUUUUUUUUUUUUUUUUUUCUUGAAAACAUUGUACAUUUGUUGUUAAUCUCUUGCAAGUUCCAUGUGAAUUGAAGAUUUUUUUUUUUUUUUUUAAAGUUUCCGAAUGCUAUAAAUAAUAGAAAUUCAUUGUUCAAGAUCAGUACUACAAAUUAGCACAUUCAUUAAAGUUUUAAGAACCAAACUUUAUGAAAUUCAAACAUGACUAUAUUAAAUUCUAGAAUAUAAAAACUAUGAAGACCUCCUCGACCGUAAGAUUCAGAAUCUGACAGAAUUAAAAAUAUAUUCAUGCAGAAGAUGACAAAAAAUGAAUUUUUUAGAAAUUAUUUCGGUAUUUUUUUUUAGUGUACUUUAAGAUCUGGUUAAAGCUCCACUGAUGAAAAUAAAAAUUUUUUAAAAAUUAUUUCUACUUUAUUUCUUUUUUCCUUUAGCUUUAAAGUCUGGAUUUUUUUCUUACAAAAUCAAGAUAUAGUUGAAGAAUAAUAAUUUCUUUGUCAGGUAAAAAGAAAAAAUUGCAACACAUAAUUUUGAUGUAUGCCACACGGCGGAUUUAUGUUCACGACAAAGUUUCUUUAUAUAUAUAGAAAUAAAAGCAGAGCAGUUUGCAAUAUAUAAAGCAAAGCAUAAGUCUAUGAAAUUAUCAAAUGUGAGGAGAAUAACAAUUAUUUAGGACAAUUAUAGUUGGACAAUAAUUAUUUAGGGUAGUUGUAAGAACAUGAGUUAUUUUAUAUUUUCCAAAAGGUUGGAUGAAUUAUUAAAAAUUAAAAUUAAAAUUAAAAUUAAAUAAAAAAUUAAAAAGAGAUACAGUAGGGACCAACAACCACUGUAAUAUAUACUUACAACUUUUUAUUUUUAUUUUUUAUUUUUCAUUUUUCCCACUCAAUUACGCAUCAUGAUUAAAGUUAGGGUUUCGAAACACAGAUUGCGGAAGAUCAGUAAGCAUUUAUCAGGAUUCUGUUAUUCAUGAUUUAUUUUAUAUGGCUGUUUGGCUCUAAAGAAAACCCUGUAAAAAAACCAUAUCAGUUUCCUUUUGUUUGCGGCAAUUAUAAAGUCUAAGUUUUUCUGUUAGCUUUUAUAUGUUUGUUGUGUGUUCAUAAUGAAUGUGAGAUUCUUUUUUGUUAUCUAAUUUGACAUAACGCACUCAAACAGGAAUUAGUUUGCUUUUUAUUUAAAUGUCCUUUUCUUGGUUUAAUAUUAUUUAGAUAUUGGAAGUCCAAGCAAACUCCAGUAUAACUCCAAGCUUGAAAUCCCUUCAUGAAACCCACAUCAAGUUCUUUUUAAUCUAUUCCAAAAAUCUGUCCAUGAGUAGUUAUCCAGUGCUCAAUUUGCACUUGAAACAACAAAGAUUUUUUUUUUUUUUUUUCCACUCCCCAAGUACCUGUUUAUAAAGCCUAAUUCUCCAAAUAAAUAUCUUUCACUUCUAGCUUUCAUAUCAACCCAAAACCAGGUUUCUACAGGUGAAGAAGACAUUCAGUUUACUUAAAAUAUACAUGUGAUGAUGUGUUGCAGUUUUUGGUUUUGCAUACUAAAGACUCUUUUCAUUAAGCUGCUUCUCCUCUAGGAUGUCAAAUUGGCCAUUCCCAUCUAAUAUGGACGUUCAAACGUAAUAUAAUCUAAAUGACUCUUCUUCAUAUUUAGAAAGGGCAGCUUUUAUUCCUGUAAACCGAGGCAUAAAUUAUUAGUUUCACUAACUGGACUGCGUUAGAGUUUAGGCAGUUUUUGCUCUAUACACUCUCAUGUGUUUGCGUUAGAGUUUUUAUUUGCAUCAAUAUUUUUUCCUAAUGGUUCAUCUUUGAUUUCAGGGAGAUCGUAUCCAUGCACUGAUUAGUAAAAAUAUUAUUCGUUUAUUCAAAUCAAAGAUACACGAGUUUAGAUUAUAUUUCAUGAAGAACUUUAUAAUUGCACCAAAUAAUUAUAUAGAAAAUCGUUUCACAUAUAUUUUCUAUGAGUUGCUACUAUUGAUUUUAUAGGAAAAUAACCGAGUUUGGCUCAUUGUGGUUAAUGCCGUACUUUUUUUCCUAAGUAUUAUUAUUUGAUGCAGUUUAUACCAUGCAUGAUUUUUGUUAUGCAUACCCUAGUAAAAGGCUUCACAUGAUACUUAAGAAUCUCUCAAUAAAAUAAAAUUUUGUAAUGCAUUUCAAUGAGAUACUUUAUUAUACAAUUUUAUUAUUUUUCAAUGCUGUUAUAAAAGAUAAUUUCAUCAUUCAAUAUUGCUUCGUGCAUCACGCAAGUUCUUACAUGAAUAAUAUAUAAAAGUAAUGUAGUUUGCCUUAUAUGGUGUAAGUAGCACAAUUUGCCAUUUGACAUUAUUUUGAAUUAUAGAGUGACAGAUGUUAGAAUUUUAAUACAAUCUGCCACUUGGCGGUGUUUUGAAUUAUAAAAUGACAAAUAUUAGAAUUCUAACACAAAUUAGCAUAAUUGUAAGAAUUGUAAGAAUUGUAAGGAGAUCAGUUAUUUUAUAUUUUCAGAUGAUUCCUUUAUCAACAUAAUAUCUAUAAAAAAAAUUAUCUUUAGCAUUCAAUAUAUUAAUAUAAAUUUAUUUCUUUUUACAAAAUAAUUAAUAAGUAAUCCACACACAUAAAAAAAUUGUGAAUAAACAAUAUAUUACUAUUAAAUAAACAAUAUAUAAACAAUUUAAAAAAUAUAAAUUGUAAUGUACUGAAUACGAUAAUUUUUUUUUAAAAAAAUAUGACAUUCACACGCUUAGAACACAUACAUUCAAUAAGUAAUAUAUUAAUAUUUCAAAUAAAUAAAUAGUCACUUAUAAUAAAUUAUAAAUAAAUUUAAAAAGUUAAUUUCUUAUUUCAAUCAUACAAUUCUAAUUUUGAAGAGCUCCAUUCGUGAAAUGAGAGGAAAAAAAUAUUUAAUAUCAAGUUUCCCAAUACCAAUUCUGAUGUUUGAGUUUUAUUUACACUUACACUAUUUCAAGAUAUAGCAAAAGCCUUUUUCGAUUUUUAAAAUAAAUACGCUUUUGCUUUCGCUAGAUUACUUUUGCUAAACCAAAUUUAUUAUGAUUGAUAUUAUAAAUUUAUAAAUUAGAUAUGUCAAUUUUCUAUUACACAGUUCUUCCUUGAACAUCAAAAAUAGUUUACACUGUAUCAAUUUAGACAAAAUUACUCCCUCUUACUCAACAAUUGACAAUUGAUUUAUGAAGAGUUAUGGCAGAAUUGCGUUUGGAGAAAGUGAUCGGAAAAAAACAAUAAAUAUGUAUUAGUAGGUCCAAAUUUUUACAAUCAUAACUCAUUUUUUAAGUUAUUAAAACAGCAGCACCGAACAGUUUAGGUAAAAUAGUAAAGUUUUAAAUGCAUUUUACAUUUUUUUUUUUUUGUGCAAAAAAAAAAAAAAAUCUUGUAUUUAUUUUGAAUUACAAAAUAAAUAAAUAAAAAAAAAAUAGAAGUGACACAAGCCACAAAUUUCAAACAAGAUACACGAGAAUCACUCCCAUUACUGCAGAAGAAAGCAAGAGAAUGCGAUAAACUUUCUAAAUCUCAAUUGUAUUAAGACUUCUUCCUCUUCAGUGUUAUAUAAAUUGCGAAUUCAUAAUAAAAAAGAAGCAAGAAACAUAUCAAGAAACUAAAAAUCUAUACAAGCUGAUUAAACGCCUUAGUCUCCUCGCAUUCGUCGUAUAUGCCAUCAUCGCCAUUGUUUUUACAGCAAUAACUGUUAGCUCUGAUGAUGCAGCACCAAUACCAGAGGCUGAAGCUGAAGUAAACGCUUGGUUUGAAGCAAAUGUCAAGCCACUGGCAGACCGUAAGGGCACUUUAAAUGCUGACCUUGAAGCGGCUGAAGCUACUCCCAAAACUAUUAAGGUGAGAGCAGACGGAAGUGGAGAGUUCAAGACUAUAACAGAUGCUGUUAAGAGCAUUCCAGCCAAAAAUGCACAACGCGUGAUUGUGGAUAGUGGACCUGGAACCUAUACCGAGAAAAUUACCGUUGAAAAAGAUAAGCCCUUUGUUUCGUUUGUCGGAGUACCUGAGAAGACAAUCAUAGAAUUUGCUGGCACUGCUCAUGAAUUUGGAACUGUGUAUAGCGCAACAUUACAAGUGGAGUCUGAUUUCUUUGUGGGAAGCGGUUUAGUUAUCAAGGUCCAUUUACAACGCUUUAGCUUUUCUUCCGUUAUUUAUGCUUUUCAUUUCUGUCACGUUUUAACAAUUUAUGGACUUACUAUUGCAUUAGAAUACUGCACCUCCGCCUGAUGGAGUAAGACCUGGAGCGCAAGCAGUUGCUUUCAGAAUUGCUGGAAGUAUGUCAAGUUUUUACAAUUGCAGAUUUAUUGGAUUUCAAGAUACAAUAUGCGAUGACAAAGGGUUUCACUUUUGGAAAGACUGUUACGUUGAAGGCACCGUUGAUUUCAUCUUUGGGAGUGGAAAGUCUAUUUAUCUGGUAAUAAAACUUCCAUUAAAACUCAACAUAUAUUGGAUUUUGUUUAUAUGCACAUAGUAUCUUUAUUUCUUGAAUAUCAACAUCAAUAUAUAUUCCAUGCAGAAUACCCAGUUAGAGGUUAUACAAGAUAAGGACAUGACAGUGAUUGUUGCACAAGCAAGAGGAAAUGCUGAAGAUACUGGCUUUUCAUUUGUUCAUUGUAGCNNNNNNNNNNNNNNNNNNNNNNNNNNNNNNNNNNNNNNNNNNNNNNNNNNNNNNNNNNNNNNNNNNNNNNNNNNNNNNNNNNNNNNNNNNNNNNNNNNNNNNNNNNNNNNNNNNNNNNNNNNNNNNNNNNNNNNNNNNNNNNNNNNNNNNNNNNNNNNNNNNNNNNNNNNNNNNNNNNNNNNNNNNNNNNNNNNNNNNNNNNNNNNNNNNNNNNNNNNNNNNNNNNNNNNNNNNNNNNNNNNNNNNNNNNNNNNNNNNNNNNNNNNNNNNNNNNNNNNNNNNNNNNNNNNNNNNNNNNNNNNNNNNNACUGAAGCAGAAGUAAAACCUUUCAUUUCUCUUAGCUAUAUUGAAGGUUCUAAAUGGCUGCUUCCUCCUCCCAAAUUGUGAGGACUAUAUUUAUAGCAGGAAGUAUAUGAAUUUGAGCGCAAUGAUGUUUAGGCGUACAUGAAGCCAUCUACGCCGAAAGAAUCCCUUGUUAUUUUGGAAGGCCUAUCUUAUGGUUUUGGCAUCUUAGUUACCACUUGUAAAUAAGCCAGAUUAGAGUAAUAUAUCUGGUUCUAUAAUUUUCCCAACAAUGAUUUUGCAAUUAUCUCAUUUAUUAGUUUCAUUUAAUUUUUAGUCAUUUUAUAAUUAUUAGCCCAUAAAUACAUGUUUUCUCCCCAAUCACAUCAAUUUUCCAUUUGAUGGAAACCACAAAUUGUCUUUCUAAAUACUGAUUAAUAAAUAGAAUACUCAGAAUUAAAAGUGUCUGCGAGUAAUUAUGGAUAUACUAACUAAAUAAGAAAUGAAAACUAACUAAUUAGAAGCCAAUCAGGUGGUGAUCUGGUUGGUCUUCUCUCUUAUGUGAGGAGUGGGAGGGCCGCCCCAUGUUGUAUAGUUCACAGUGUUAUUUCGGUCCAUAAAAACCUCUAAUAAAUUUAAAAAGCUAACUAAUUAGGAAAAAAAAAUGAUUUUUUAACUAAAAAGGAAAGAUAAAAUCUAACUACAUAAGAAAAUAUCAUUGCCUUAACUAAAUAGGGACAAAGGUACAUAAUAUAUAAGAACAAGAAAUAAAAUUUUAAAAUAAUAUCCUAAGAAAUAAACAAUAAUGCUAUAUAAGAAUUUCAUCCAAAUAAGUUGUGUUAACUGUUAGGUACACAUACACAUGAAAUUUGUAGCUUUGUAGUGUUGCACUCUAGCUAUGACAAUCUUGAUGCAAUAUAAAUUAAAUCUUUCAUAUUUUAUUCAUAGAAAUUUUUGAGGUCGGAUGGCAUUUAAAUAAUGGAAUGUAUACAUCUCAUGAAUUUGCUAGAUUCUUUCAAUUAAUAGAGAAAAAAAAUGAAGUAUGCUACAUGGAAUUAAUGGAUUUCGAGGUAUCCCCGAUUACAUUAAUUUAGAAGAGAGAAAAAUAUUAUCUCAAUGCUGGAAUUUUCUCAAUUCUAUCAUUAUUAAUCAUUUAUUUUUUUCCGAAAAUACCUUUUAAAUUCAUGGAUUAUAUUUUUUUCAUUUAAAUAAUGGAAUAUGAAAGUCCAUUGAUUUUACAAUUCAUAAAUUUUAUAUUUCAUGAAUUUGGUAAAUUUUAUGACCAAAUUUCAUCAAUUUAAAUUAUCUCCUUAAGAAUAAAAAAGUGUGAAGAAAGACAGAUUUUAAAAGUUUUAACAAUGAUUGUACAUUUGUUGGUUUUUUUUUUUCUUGAAAACAUUGUACAUUUGUUGUUAAUCUCUUGCAAGUUGCAUGUGAAUUGAAGAUUUUUUUUUUUAAAGUUUCCGAAUGCUAUAAAUAAAUAGAAAUUCAUUGUUCAAGAUCAGUACUACAAAUUAGCACAUUCAUUAAAGUUUUAAGAACCAAACUUUAUGAAAUUCAAACAUGACUAUAUUAAAUUCUGGAAUUUAAAAACUAUGAAGAUCUCCUCGACCGUAAGAUUCAGAAUCUGACAGAAUUAAAAAUAUAUUCAUGCAGAAGAUGAUAAAAAAUGAAUUUUUUAGAAAUUAUUUCGAUAUUUUUUUUAGUGUACUUUAAGAUCUGCUUAAAUCUGCACUUAUGAAAAUAAAAAUUUUUUAAAAAUUAUUUCUACUUUAUUUCUUUUUUCCUUUAGCUUUAAGGUCUGGAUUUUUUUUUUUUUUUUUUUUUUACAAAAUCAAGAUAUAGUUGAAGAAUACUAAUUUCUUUGUCAGGUUAAAAAAAAAAAAAUUGCAACACAUAAUUUUGAUGUAUGCCACACGGCGGAUUUAUGUUCACGACAAAGUUUAUAUAUAUAUAUAUAAAUAGAUCGGUUUGCAAUAUAUGGAAGCAAAGAAUAAGCCCUGAAAUUGCCAAAUGUGAGGGGAUAACAAUUAUUCAGGGUAGUUUUAAAAACAUGAGUUAUUUUAUAUUUUCCAAAAGGUUGGAUCAAUUAUUAAAAAUUAAAAUUAAAAUUAAAUAAAAAUUUAAAAUAGAUACAGUAGGGACCAACAACAACCGUAAUAUAUACUUACAACUUUUAUUUUUUUUCAUUUUUCCCACUCAAUUACGCAUCAUGAUUAAAGUUAGGGUUUCGAAACACAGAUUGCGGAAGAUCAGUAAGCAUUUAUCAGGAUUCUGUUAUUCAUGAUUUAUUUUAUAAGGCUGUUUAGCUCUAAAGAAAACCCUAUAAAAAAACCAUAUCAGUUUCCUUUUGUUUGCGGCAAUUAUAAAGUCUCAGUUUUUCUGUUAGCUUUUACAUGUUUGUUGUGUUUGCGUUAGAGUUUUUAUUUGCAUCAAUAUUUUUUCCUAAUGGUUCAUUUUUGAUUUCAGGGAGAUCGUAUCCAUGCAAUGAUCAGUAAAAAUAUUAUUCAUUUAUUCAAAUUAAAGAUACACGAGUUUGGAUUAUAUUUCAUGCAGAACUUUAUAAUUGCACCAAAUAAUUAUAUAGAAAAUCGUUUCACAUAUAUUUUCUAUGAGUUGCUACUAUUGAUUUUAUAGGAAAAUAACCGAGUUUGGCUCAUUCUGGUUUAUGCCGUAUUUUUUUUCCUAAGUAUUAUUAUUUGAUGAAAGUUAUACCAUGCAUGGUUUUUGCUAUGCAUACCUUGGUAAAAGGCUUCACAUGUUACUUAAGAAUCUCUCAAUGAGAUAUAAUUUUGUAAUACAUUUCAAUGAGAUAUUAUAUUAUACAAUUUUAUUAUUUUUCAAUGCUGUUAUAAAAGAUAAUUUCAUCAUUCAAUAUUGCUUCGUGCAUCACGCGAGUUCUUACACGAAUAAUAUAUAAAAAUAAUAUAGUUUGCCUUAUAUGGUAUAAGUAGCACAAUUUACCAUUUGACAUUAUUUUAGAUUAUAGAGUGACAGAUGUUAGAAUUCUAAUAUAAUCUGCCACUUGGCGGUUUUUUGAAUUAUAGAAUGACAAAUAUUAGAAUUCUAACACAAAUUAGCACAAUUGUAAGAAUUAUAAAGAGAUCAGUUAUUUUAUAUUUUUAGAUGAUUCCUUUAUCAACGUAAUAUCUAUAAAAAAAAUUAUCUUUAGCAUUCAAUAUAUUAAUAUAAAUUUAUUUCUUCUUACAAAAUAAUUAAUAAGUAAUCCACACACAUAAAAAAAGUGUGAAUAAAUAAUAUAUUACUAUUAAAUAAACAAUUUAAAAAAUAUAAAUUGUAACGUCCUGAAUACGAUAAUUUUUAAAACACAUGCUUAGAACACAUACAUUCAAUAAGUAAUAUAUUAAUAUGCCAAAUAAAUAAACAAUCAUUUAUAAUAAAUUAUAAAUAAAUUUAAAAAAUUAAUUUCUUAUUUCAAUCAUACAAUUCUAAUUUUGAAGAGCUCCAUUCGUGAAAGGAGAGGAAAAAAAUAUUUAAUAUCAAGUUUCCUAAUACCAAUUCUGAUGUUUGAGUUUUAUUUACACUUACACUAAUUCAAGAUAUAGCAAAAGCCUUUUUCGAUUUUUAAAAUAAAUUCGCUUUUGCUUUCGCUAGAUUACUUUUGCUAAACCUAAUUUAUUAUGAUCGAUAUUAUAAAUUUAUAUAUUAGAUUUGUCAAUUUUCUAUUACACAGUUCUUCCUUGAACAUCAAAAAUAGUUUCCAUUGUACCAAUUUAGGCAAAAUUACUCCCUCUUACUUAACAAUUGACAAUUGAUUUAUGAAGAGUUAUGGCAGAAUUGAGUUUGGAGAAAGUGAUCGGAAAAAAACAAUAAAUAUGUAUUAGUAGGACCAAAUUUUUACAACCAUAACUCAUUUUUUAAGUUAUUAAAACAGCAGCACCGAAAAGUUUAGGUAAAAUAGUAAAGUUUUAAAUGCAUUUUACAUUGUUUUUUUAUUGUGCAAAAAAAAAAACUUGUAUUUAUUUUGAAUUACAAAAUAAGUAAAGAAAAAAAUAUUAGAAGUGACACAAGCCACAAAUUUCAAACAAGAUACACGAGAAUCACUCCCAUUACUGCAAAAGAAAGCACGAGAAUGCGAUAAACUUUCUAAAUCUCAAUUGUAUUAAGACUUCUUCCUCUUCAGUGUUAUAUAAAUUGCGAAUUCAUAAUAAAAAAGAAGCAAGAAACAUAUCAAGAAACUAAAAAUCUAUACAAGAUGAUUAAACGCCUUAGUCUCCUCGCAUUCGUCGAAUAUGCCAUCAUCGCCAUUGUUUUUACAGCCAUAACUGUUAGCUCUGAUGAUGCAGCACCAAUACCAGAGGCUGAAGCUGAAGUAAACGCUUGGUUUGAAGCAAAUGUCAAGCCACUGGCAGACCGUAAGGGCACUUUAAAUGCUGACCUUGAAGCGGCUGAAGCUACUCCCAAAACUAUUAAGGUGAGAGCAGACGGAAGUGGAGAGUUCAAGACUAUAACAGAUGCUGUUAAGAGCAUUCCAGCCAAAAAUGCACAACGCGUGAUUGUGGAUAUUGGACCUGGAACCUAUACCGAGAAAAUUACCGUUGAAAAAGAUAAGCCCUUUGUUUCGUUUGUCGGAGUACCUGAGAAGACAAUCAUAGAAUUUGCUGGCACUGCUNNNNNNNNNNNNNNNNNNNNNNNNNNNNNNNNNNNNNNNNNNNNNNNNNNNNNNNNNNNNNNNNNNNNNNNNNNNNNNNNNNNNNNNNNNNNNNNNNNNNNNNNNNNNNNNNNNNNNNNNNNNNNNNNNNNNNNNNNNNNNNNNNNNNNNNNNNNNNNNNNNNNNNNNNNNNNNNNNNNNNNNNNNNNNNNNNNNNNNNNNNNNNNNNNNNNNNNNNNNNNNNNNNNNNNNNNNNNNNNNNNNNNNNNNNNNNNNNNNNNNNNNNNNNNNNNNNNNNNNNNNNAACUCAACAUAUAUUGGAUUUGUUUAUAUGCACAUAAUAUCUUUAUUUAUGAGUGUCAACAUCAACAUAUAUUCUAUGCAGAAUACCCAGUUAGAGGUGCUGCAAGAUAAGGAAAUGACAGUGAUUGUUGCACAAGCAAGAGGAAACGCUGAAGAUACUGGCUUUUCAUUUGUUCAUUGUAGCGUAGCUGGGAAAGCAAAAGGAGCAUACCUAGGCCGAGCAUGGAUGCCAGCUCCUAAGGCGGUAUUUGCAUAUAGUACCAUAAGUGAGGUUAUCUGUCCCGAAGGAUGGUCUAAUAAUGAACAUCCUGAAAGAGAGCCGUAAGAAAUUUUUAACUAAUCUCUUUAAACUCAUAAAAUGACUUAUCUAUAAUACUCAUUUUGCAUAUUUCAAUAAGGUUCUGUGCACUUUGCAGAGAGAUCUUCUUUGGAGAAUUUAAGAAUUCAGGACCAGGCGCAGCUGCUGAUGGACGUGUUAAAUUUGCCAAGCAACUGACUGAAGCAGAAGUAAAACCUUUCAUUUCUCUUAGUUAUAUUGAAGGUUCUAAAUGGCUGCUUCCUCCUCCCAAAUUGUGAGGAGUAUAUUUAUAGGAGGAAGUAUAUGAAUUUGAGCGAAAUGAUGUUUAGGCGUACAUGA